CACACUGUAAUAUAGUAAUUCGUUUUUAUUGUUUUCAUGCCCCAAAAUAUAUUAAAUCAAAUUCCGUCGAUUUUAUAAGAAAAUUUCAUAAAGCUCCAGUCAUGCACAAACACCUCUACAAUCAAAUGUGGCGAAAGCAAUUGACCGUAAUCUAUUCAACUUGGGAUUGCAUUCCGUAGUAGGAGGGAAUUCCAUGUAUAUCCCAGCCUGUGUCAAAACUUACCCGGAAUUGCUGAUCAAGCAGCAUGUAAGAAAAAUUAACUAUUACAAGUACUUGUUAUCACUACCUAUGAAAUACUUAAGUAGGUACUUAAGGCUUCUUUAAGGUUUCCAGUAUAACAAAAUAGCAGAAUUUUACUUAUAAUAUUAUACUACUUUCCUUAACUCGUUUUUAUUUUUUACUUUUAUCACAGGUGCUUGUGUAAAAAUUAAUGUUAAUAUAAAUUGAUGAAAAGUUACAAGGAUCUACAUACCUACAAGCAAAAUGAUAAUAAAGGAAACGGUAUAAAAUCAAAGUGUUAAUGCAAGUACUACUGAUCCAUUGUUGUUAAGCAAGAAGUACAGGAAUACAGAAGGUUAAUGAGGCACAAAAGG